CGGACGGGUGAGUAACGCGUGAGAAUCUGCCCUUAGGUCGGGGACAACAGUUGGAAACGACUGCUAAUACCGGAUGAGCUGAAAAGUAAAAGAUUUAUCGCCUAGGGAAGAGCUCGCGGCUGAUUAGCUAGUUGGUGAUGUAAGAGAUCACCAAGGCAACGAUCAGUAGCUGGUCUGAGAGGAUGAGCAGCCACACUGGGACUGAGACACGGCCCAGACUCCUACGGGAGGCAGCAGUGGGGAAUUUUCCGCAAUGGGCGAAAGCCUGACGGAGCAAUACCGCGUGAGGGAGGAAGGCUCUUGGGUUGUAAACCUCAAAACUCAGGGAAGAAGAAAGUGACGGUACCUGAUAUAAGCAUCGGCUAACUCCGUGCCAGCAGCCGCGGUAAUACGGAGGAUGCAAGCGUUAUCCGGAAUCAUUGGGCGUAAAGCGUCCGUAGGUGGCAUUUCAAGUCCGCAUUCAAAGACCGAGGCUCAACCUCGGGCAGGGUGUGGAAACUGAAAAGCUAGAGUACAGGAGGGGUAGAGGGAAUUCCUAGUGUAGCGGUGAAAUGCGUAGAGAUUAGGAAGAACACCAGUGGCGAAGGCGCUCUACUGGGACAU
rnacentral:rRNA from 1 species